GCGUUGUCCGGAUUUAUUGGGCGUAAAGAGCUCGUAGGCGGUUUGUCGCGUCGGCUGUGAAAACCCGGGGCUCAACUCCGGGCCUGCAGUCGAUACGGGCAGACUAGAGUGCGGUAGGGGAGACUGGAAUUCCUGGUGUAGCGGUGAAAUGCGCAGAUAUCAGGAGGAACACCGGUGGCGAAGGCGGGUCUCUGGGCCGUAACUGACGCUGAGGAGCGAAAGCGUG
rnacentral:rRNA from 1 species